ACCACAGGGAUGGGCAGCUUUACAGACCCUAGGUAAGACUCAUGUAGCACACAGGCUGCAGUCCCAUCAAGACCAACCUCUCCACACUGCAGAUCUGUAUUUCCUUAGGAUUGCAAUGUCCAUUUGCCUUUAAUUAUGUGUUUGAGGAACUUCAGCAUGUCUUUUCUGAAGAGGUUUUGUAGCAUUUCAAAAGCAUUGCAAAAUCAAACAUGGUACCUUAAAAAUAUAAAACAGAGACUGUCUAUGUCCAAGUUUUCGUUUGAUCCCAUUUGUGGUUGAGCUGAAGUGGUGGGUCGCUGAGUGCAGCUGGAAGGAUGAAGAUGUCAGCAGCUCCUACUGACUUAACACAGGAGAACAUCGAGCCUGCAGCAAACAACCAGGCAAAACACAUGGUAUUAACACAAGCACCAUCUCUCAGCCUAUUGCUCCUCAGAGACCCAUGGGGAUGAGUACUGAAUAUGACAGUGGACAGACACCAGCCAGGAACCACUCAUGGCUGAAUGUUGGUUGUGACCUGCAAGGUGGUCACUCAUUCCCUAAAACAUCCUCAACUUCUAGGCUAUGGAGAUGGAUAUAGUCCCAUGGGUUAUUUGUAUGUGGGAGAACACUGAGCCAACACACUAUCUAAUGUAAACCUCUCUAAAGCUAUCCUUUAAAAAACAAGCAAAAAAAGGAAGUAUUCCCUUUUGGUUAUAUAAUGCAGCCAGCAAAGUGCACCACACUGCUUAAAUUGUAAGUCCAUCAAAGGCUGGCACCUCCUCGCUUAAUAAACCUUUCUCUUUGUAUUUGAGUCACACUUGAUCAUUUUAACUGCAUUUUAGUACUGUUAGCUCUGGGGAGACAACUCAGCUUUUGGCUCAGAGACCCGGAACGGAACUGUAGGAUAAUUUUCAAUUAUGAUAUCUCUCCUAUUGAUGAUGAAUGAUACUCAAGAAAAAAAACAAAAACCUGAGUAUGAUAACCUAGUUUUAACUUGUAAUCUAAACAGAUGUGAACUGUGGUCUUUGAGAAUUAAUAACAAUGGAAUGUCAUAUUAUUAUUUUCCAAUGCUUUCUGAAGAGGAAUUUCCCUGAAUGGGUGCUGAUGACAAUUAAAAAAAACAUUUUGUUACUGAUCAGUGCUUAAAUAUCAGCUAGCCAAACAUUGUUCAUUUUGUAGCUCUUCUUUGUUUGGUACACUUUCAUUUGUUUUUGGCAUGAUUCUUAAUAUGGAGAAAAAAACAGACUCAUUCGUUUCGAUUUGGUUUCUAGUCUGUUGUAUGUUCCAACACUCAUGAAUUAUUGUAAAAUAUCUGUGAUUAACUUGUAAAGACUUGAGAAAACUAAUUAAUUAUGGACUUCAUUUAUUUUCACAUCUCCUUUUUAUGUACCCAAGUAGAUUUUCAUCUUGAAAAAUGGAACCAGAAAAGCCUUCCCUGCAAAACUCUGAAUUUUGAGUAAAAGUAGACUUAGUAAAAGUGUGGGU